AAUCGAACCCGGAGAUAGCUGGUUCUCCUCGAAAUAGCUUUAGGGCUAGCCUCAUGGAUCAUUGGUGGGGGUAGAGCACUGAAUGUGCGCGGGGGCCACAAAGCCUACCAAACGCUAUCAAACUACGAAUACCAUACAAUGCAGACCAUGGGAGUCAGUCCGCGAGAGAUAAGUUCCGCGGGCAAAAGGGGAACACCCCAGAUCAACCGCUAAGGUCCCCAAGUUCACGUUAAGUGGAGAAGGAUGUGGAAUUGCACAGACAACCAGGAUGUUGGCUCAGAAGCAGCCACACAUUUAAAGAGUGCGUAAUAGCUCACUGGUCGAGUGAUUGUGCGCCGAAGAUGUCCGGGGCUAAACGUGACACCGAAGCGAUGGGUGCAUCUGAAGAAGAUGCGCGGUAGAGGAGCAAUGUGCAGAGGCAGAAGCCGUAUCGAGAGGCACGGUGGACACUGCACAAGAGAGAAUGCCGGUAUGAGUAGCGAGAGGCAUGCGAGAAACAUGCCCGUCGAAAGCCCAAGGUUUCCUGGGGAAGGUUCAUCCGCCCAGGGUAAGUCGGGGCCUAAGCCGAGGACGGAAGUCGUAGGCGAUGGACAGCAGGUGUAGAUUCCUGCACUACCGAUGGAAUGAAGCAGUGACACAGAAGGAUAACUCGAGCAGGGUGAUGGUCAACCCUGUGCAAGCAUCAAGGUUGGGUUGUAGUGAAGUACGCAACCCUACAAGCUGAGGUGUGAUGCGGACCGAAAUUUCAGUAGGGAAGCGAGUGAGUUCACGCUGGCGAGAAAAGCUGCUAGUACAUCCAAAGGUACCCGUACCGGAAACCGACGCAGGUGGGCGAGGAGAGAAUCCUGAGACGAACGGGAGAACCCUUGUUAAGGAACUCGGCAAAAUGACCCCGUAACUUCGGGAUAAGGGGUGCCUGCGAGAGCAGGCCGCAGAGAAUAGUCACAAGCGACUGUUUAGCAAAAACACAGGUAUCUGCGAAAGCGAGAGCUGACGUAUAGGUGCUGACACCUGCCCGGUGCUGGAAGGUUAAGGGAACAUGUUAGAGCAAUCGAAGCAUCGAACCGAAGCCCCAGUAAACGGCGGCCGUAACUAUAACGGUCCUAAGGUAGCGAAAUUCCUUGUCGGGUAAGUUCCGACCCGCACGAAUGGUGUAACGACUUGUGAGCUGUCUCAACAGGGGGCCCGGUGAAAUUGAAGUAUGGGUGAAGAUGCCCAUUACCCGCGACUGGACGGAGAGACCCCGUAGAGCUUUACUGCAGCCUGAUAUUGAGUUUCGGUAACUGAUGCACAGGAUAGGUGGGAGUCUGAGAGACAUGGGUUUCGGCUCAUGUGGAGACGGUGUUGGGAUACCACUCUUCGGUUACUGAAAUUCUAACAUAGCUCUGUGAAACCAGAGGAUGGACAGUGUCAGGUGGACAGUUUGACUGGGGCGGUCGCCUCCGAAAGAGUAACGGAGGCGCCCAAAGGUACCCUCAGAAUGGAUGGAAACCAUUCGAAGAGCGCAAAGGCAGAAGGGUGCCUGACUGCGAGAGUGACAACUCGAGCAGAGACGAAAGUCGGGCUUAGUGAUCCGGCGGUAUUGAGUGGAAAAGCCGUCGCUUAACGGAUAAAAGCUACCUCGGGGAUAACAGGCUGAUCUCCCCCAAGAGUCCACAUCGACGGGGAGGUUUGGCACCUCGAUGUCGGCUCGUCGCAUCCUGGGGCUGAAGCAGGUCCCAAGGGUUUGGCUGUUCGCCAAUUAAAGCGGCACGCGAGCUGGGUUCAGAACGUCGUGAGACAGUUCGGUCCCUAUCCAUCGUGGGCGUAGGAGUCAUGAGAGGAGCUGUUCCUAGUACGAGAGGACCGGAAUGGACGCACCACUGGUGCAACUGUUGUCGUGCCAACGGCAUAGCAGGGAAGCGAAGUGCGGAUGGGAUAAACGCUGAAGGCAUCUAAGCGUGAAGCCCACCUCAAGAAUAAGACUCCACAAUAGACCCCUGGAGGACUACCAGGUAGAUAGGUCAUCGGUGGAAGCGCUGUAAGGCGUGCAGCUUGAUGAUACUAAUCGGUCGAAAGCUUCAUUU
rnacentral:rRNA from 1 species